GAUUAUAUUUUCGAGAGGUCUAGGACUUGAAUUAGAUCCCAAACUUCACCCUUUUGAGUUCUAAAUACUCUCAAGUCUCCAUUUCAUACCUUAGCCAAAUUUAUCCAAAUUUCAAACUCCAAAUUGCAGAUUUGCUCAAAUUUGACUUUGGCUCAAAUUACCUUCCUCUAAUCCAACUUCACCAUUAACUUCUUAAUGUUAUUCUUAAGCUGUCAUUAACACUGGGUGUUACA
rnacentral:lncRNA from 1 species